rnacentral:rRNA from 1 species
GAAAGUAAGGAUGCACACCGCACGGCCUCUCACCGGCUACAUGCCUCUCAUGAGUUUGCCUUUCCAACUGUCCAUAAAAAUUUAUGCGCCUACCAUGGUUGUAACGGGUAACGUAGAAUGUUCCCUUGAAACCGGAGAGGGAGCCCGACUAACGGCUCCCACAUAAAAGGAAGGCGGCAGGCUCACCCACUACCCACUCACGGCACGAGGAGGUAGUGACGAAGGAUAACGAGGCGGGCCUCUAUGAGGUUUGCUAUCGGAAUGAGAACACUUUAAAUCCUUUAACAAGGAUCAAGCGAAGGGCAAGUCUGGUGCCAGCACCGCGGUAAUUCCAGCUCCGCAGGUGAAUAUCUAUGCUGCUGCGGUAAAAAG